AUACCUUUCUCGGCCUUCUGGCAAAGAUCAAGUGUAGUAUCUGUUCUUAUUAGUUUAAUAUCUGAUAUGUGGGCCGUCGGUUAACUCUUUAUUAAAUUAAUAAUUUUUUGAGGAGAGGGCCCACUACAGUAGCUUGGUACUGGGGCCUCUAAUGUGUUGCCUUGCUGUUGCAUUAUUGCCUUGGCUUGGCGUACCCCAA